rnacentral:rRNA from 1 species
CAGUACAAAGGCCACUGCAACGAUCCAAUGAUCAUUCUUGAGGCAGUUGCAUUGAAAGAUCUUUUGAUAUGGCAUUCAUUCUUUGGUUUGCCUGGCUCUCACAGUGACUUGAAUGUGCUAUCGAGAUCACCACUGUUUUCUAGGCUUAUCACAGGAGAUGCUCCUGCUUGCAACUACUCGGUCAAUGGGCACAACUACUCGAUGGGUUACUACCUUGCGGAUGGCAUCUAUCCACCAUGGACCACAUUAGUCAAAACAAUUCCGCGUCCAAAAGGUAACAAAAAUAUUCACUUUGCCCAAUGUCAGUAA